CGCAAGCGUAGGAAGCUCACGUACGAAUCUGUACCGGUUUCUUCUUCGACAAGCCAGGGACCUUGAAAGUAGAGAUCAAUGGAGAAGAGAUAGAGGGCUGAACGUUUGCCCUAAAGACAAGGGCUGGAACGAUCGGUCCACCAGCCGUUUGUGAUCCCUGCUCCGCCCCAGCAUCAGCUGCCAACUCGUCCACCCUAGGGCAUCGUUGGCCACCAUGAUUCAGCAUAGCACAGGAGUGGCAGCGCCCAAGGAGCCUUUCAUACCUGAAUCUUAGGGUUAGGACGUCAGAGGGAGAAACCCUAACCCUACGGUCGAGACGCACCGGAUCAUGGAUAGAUAGAACAAGCCUAACCCGAGCAUCGCCCCUACGCAGCGCCGGACGAUCCACCUCCAGCACCUCGCCAAUUGUCCCACCAACCAACCGGACGGUAGG
rnacentral:lncRNA from 1 species